GAUGAACGCUAGCUACAGGCUUAACACAUGCAAGUCGAGGGGUAACGAGAGGAAAGCUUGCUUUCCUUGUCGACGACCGGCGCACGGGUGAGUAACGCGUAUCCAACCUGCCCCCAACUAGGGAAUAACCUUGCGAAAGUAAGACUAAUACCCUAUAAUUUCCUCAGAUGUCAUCUGACGAGGAAUAAAGAUUUAUCGGUUGUGGAUGGGGAUGCGUCUGAUUAGCUUGUUGGCGGGGUAACGGCCCACCAAGGCAACGAUCAGUAGGGUUUCAGAGAGGGAGGGCCCCCACAUUGGAACUGAGACACGGUCCAAACGCCUACGGGAGGCAGCAGUGAGGAAUAUUGGUCAAUGGGCGGAAGCCUGAACCAGCCAAGUAGCGUGCAGGAUGACGGCCCUAUGGGUUGUAAACUGCUUUUAUACAGGAAUAAAGUUAGCCACGUGUGGUUAUUUGUAGGUACUGUAUGAAUAAGGACCGGCUAAUUCCGUGCCAGCCGCCGCUGUAA
rnacentral:rRNA from 1 species